rnacentral:rRNA from 1 species
UACGUAGGGCGCAAGCGUUAUCCGGAAUUAUUGGGCGUAAAGGGCGCGUAGGCGGCCUGUUAAGUCGAACGUGAAAUCCCCGGGCUCAACCCGGGAACUGCGUCCGAUACUGGCAGGCUUGAAUCCGGGAGAGGGAUGCGGAAUUCCAGGUGUAGCGGUGAAAUGCGUAGAUAUCUGGAGGAACACCGGUGGCGAAGGCGGCAUCCUGGACCGGCAUUGACGCUGAGGCGCGAAAGCCAGGGGAGCAAACGGG